rnacentral:rRNA from 1 species
UACCAGCACCCCGAGCGGUCGGGACGAUUAUUGGGCCUAAAGCAUCCGUAGCCGGUCAUGCAAGUCCUCCGUUAAAUCCAGCCGCUCAACGGUUGGGCUGCGGAGGAUACUACGUGGCUAGGAGGCGGGAGAGGCAAGCGGUACUCAGUGGGUAGGGGUAAAAUCCUUUGAUCCAUUGAAGACCACCAGUGGCGAAGGCGGCUUGCCAGAACGCGCUCGACGGUGAGGGAUGAAAGCUGGGGGAGCAAACCGG